rnacentral:rRNA from 1 species
AACGCUGGCGGCGUGCCUAAUACAUGCAAGUCGAUCGAAGUUUUUCUGGUGCUUGCACCGGAAAAACUUAGCGGCGAACGGGUGAGUAACACGUAAAGAACCUGCCUCAUAGACUGGGACAACUAUUGGAAACGAUAGCUAAUACCGGAUAACAGCAUUAACCGCAUGGUUGAUGUUUAAAAGUUGGUUUUGCUAACACUAUGAGAUGGCUUUGCGGUGCAUUAGCUAGUUGGUGGGGUAAAGGCCUACCAAGGCGACGAUGCAUAGCCGACCUGAGAGGGUGAUCGGCCACACUGGGACUGAGACACGGCCCAGACUCCUACGGGAGGCAGCAGUAGGGAAUCUUCCGCAAUGGGCGAAAGCCUGACGGAGCAACGCCGCGUGAGUGAAGAAGGACUUCGGUUCGUAAAGCUCUGUUGUUAGGGAAGAAUGAUUAUGUAGUAACUAUACAUAGUAGAGACGGUACCUAACCAGAAAGCCACGGCUAACUACGUGCCAGCAGCCGCGGUAAUACGUAGGUGGCAAGCGUUGUCCGGAAUUAUUGGGCGUAAAGCGCGCGCAGGUGGUUUAAUAAGUCUGAUGUGAAAGCCCACGGCUCAACCGUGGAGGGUCAUUGGAAACUGUUAAACUUGAGUGCAGGAGAGAAAAGUGGAAUUCCUAGUGUAGCGGUGAAAUGCGUAGAGAUUAGGAGGAACACCAGUGGCGAAGGCGGCUUUUUGGCCUGUAACUGACACUGAGGCGCGAAAGCGUGGGGAGCAAACAGGAUUAAAUACCCUGGUAGU